GAAAUGCGAUAAGUAAUGUGAAUUGCAGAAUUCCGUGAAUCAUCGAAUCUUUGAACGCACAUUGCGCCCUCUGGCAUUCCUUGGAGCAUGCCUGUUUGAGUAUCAUGAAAUCUUCAAAGUAAAUCUUUUGUUAACUCAAUUGGUUUCUACUUUGGUAUUGGAGGUCUUUGCAGCUUCACACCUGCUCCUCUUUGUUCAUUAGCUGGAUCUCAGUGUUAUGCUUGGUUCCACUCGGCGUGAUAAGUUAUCUAUCGCUGAGGACACUGUAAAAGGUGGCCAAGGUAAAUGCAGAUGAACCGCUUCUAAUAGUCCAUUGACUUGGACAAUACUUUUAUGAUCUGAUCUCAAAUCAGGUAGGACUACCCGCUGAACUUAAGC
rnacentral:misc_RNA from 1 species